rnacentral:ncRNA from 1 species
GCCUCUCAGCAAGGACAGAAGCCUUACGUAGACUAAAAGGGCAAAAGCUGGCUCAAUUUUGAUUUUCAGUACGAAUAUGGACUUCAAAAAUA